GCUGUUCUUUUUUUUUUUUUAUAUAUAUAUUUACCAAUAUAGUAGAAUGAACAUGUUCGAAACGAAAUAUCUUCAAUCUAAUUGUUGGGCUUUGCGCAAGGGAGAAGAGUACGCAAUUUGGGUUUCGUAUUUCUAGAAUUUGGGAUUUUUUUUUCUACAGAUUGAAUGGCGAUUUCCUUCGUGUUUGAGUUUAUUCUAUGAUUGUAGGUGGAAGACGAAGCUCUUACAGAGGUCAUGGGUAGUUUGACUCGCGGUGGUGUAAUGUUUUGUAUCUUGCGAUGCUGGUUAUACGAUUCCUUUUGAAGUGGUUUUGGUUCCUCUAUGUUUGAAUUGCAGAUGGUGGAGAUUGAAGAAGCUAACGAAGGUUGUUACUGGAUGAUUGAUGAGUGAAGGAGAAAGGUGCCUCGCGAUGGUGCUGCAAUUUGUGCAAUGGUUGCUUUGCUAGAUGGAUAAGAUGGUGGCGUGAGGACGACUCCACGCAUGGCUUCUGUUUUCGAUUUGCAGUGAAGGAGAAUACUUCUCUAUUUGAAUCUUUGGUUUUGCAAAUUGGAAAUGGUCGAAGACGAUGAGAGAACAACUAAUACGGACCUUGUGAUUAGGAGUAGGUCACAGAUAGAGAGAAAAAGCGGAUGAAAAAAUUUCCGCUCUUUUAACCAAUGAAUUUAUUGACAUAUUUUUUGGUUGAUGAAUUAAAUAUACAUUAUCGUUAUUUGUUGAUAAAUUAAAUAUAUA
rnacentral:lncRNA from 1 species